rnacentral:lncRNA from 1 species
GGCAUGUGCUUGUUAAAUGAAUGUUACCUAGUGUAUCCCUGAGCAUAGCUGUCUAAUGUCCCUUAUUUAUAGAUGGCUCUUUCCCUUUGGCCUUGUUUUAAUUAUGACUGGUGAAAAGUUACCUAAAACUAAUCAAGAUACCAAGUCAAGGCUAAAAGGAUGGGGCGUCUCCUAGAAUAGUAUGAAUAGUGUGAAUAUGUGUGUAUUGAGCUCCACACCCGUUCCCACAUCCCAUUGUGGUCAGGGAAGUCAUUUCCUAGAGCACUGGAGCUGUAAGUGUGUGGCUCUGUCGGGAUGAAUGGUACGAGGACAGGAACUCAGCACAGACAAGGGAGGAAGGCUUGCUAUGGAAUGAGCAGUAGGCAUUGAGGAAUAGCACAAGACAGAAGGAAGGCGUUGGAAAUCUGCAUGAAAAAGUGAUAGAAGAUCCUGUUGCCCUCCUGACCCAGACAUCCUCAGCAGCUAGAAAAGACACAACAGGACUUGAGUACGUUUUAGAAGAUGGCUGGCUCUGGGAUCAUUCUCCAACCCAGCGAAGCUUUUGCUGAAACAUCAAACUAGACUUUCCCUUGAGUGAAUGUGCUUGCCAACUUAUGCCCUGGCUCCACCCAUUGGAACAGGAAACUAAAACAGCCCUCCCAUUCAUUUCCCUCUUCUGUGCCUCCCUCUAGGUGUCUCACCUCCCCACUGUCCACUCCUGAACUUCCAGAAACCUUGGUUGAUGAGAAAAAUCUGGUGGCCAUUUUUAGGCUCCUAAAGGCAAUAACAGGCCUUGCAAAUGCCUUUCUAAAUCCUUGGUUUUGCCUAACAUCUCCUGACUGCUGUCCCCAUGUGACCUAAAUAAACAUGAUCAUG